ACGACAACCGGAUACAUGAGGUGGUCCGACCACUGCAAUUGUCGGUUCGACAGUUCGUUGGAAACCGGUAUCCAGUCAGGAUUGCUACAACAGCUUUCAAACUGUAAUGUAGUCGAUUCUGCUGUUUUGUUACAGAAACAGAUUAUAUAUUUGGAAUUAUACGAAUUUGUAAUGAAGGUAAGUGGUAAUGUACGUGUAAAUUACCGAGCUACUCUGCGCUGCGUGUUUUAAAUUCAAAGAUACGAGUGUUUUUUUUAAUUUGUCUUUAAUUUUUACGUGUUUAUAAACGAUUUUAAGCGUUAUUAAUUAUAUGUUAUCAACAGAACUUUUAAAC
rnacentral:lncRNA from 1 species